rnacentral:rRNA from 1 species
GGACGGGUGAGUAACGCGUAGCUAUCUAUCCUUGCGGUGGGAGGACAACCUGUGGGAAACUCACAUGCUAAUACCGCAUGAUAACUGAGUGUUUAAAGGCUGCAAGUCGCCUGGGGAGAGAGCCUGCGUACGAUUAGCUUUGUUCGGUGGGGUAAAGGCCUACCAAGGUCGACGAUCGUAUAGCUGGUCUGAGAGGAUGAUCAGCCACAUUGGGACCUGAGACACGGUCCAAAUCCCAUACGGGAGGCAGCAGUGGGGAAUAUUGGGACAAUGGGCGCAACGCCUGAUCCAGCAAUGCCGCGUGUGUGAAGAAGGUCUUCGGAUUGUAAAGCACUUUCGACAGGGACGAUGAUACCGGUACCUGUUAGAAAAGCCCCGGCUAACUUCGUGCCAGCAGCCGCGGUAAUACGAAGGGGGCUACCGUUGCUCGGAAUGACUGGCCGUAAAGGGCGCGUAGGCGGAUGAUACCAGUCAGAUGUGAAAUUCCCGGGCUU